CAAUAGCGUAUAUUUAAGUUGCUGCAGUUAAAAAGCUCGUAGUUGGAUUUCGGGUGGGAAUGGCCGGUCCGCCGUUUCAGUGUGCACUUGCUACGCCCACCUUGCUGCCGGGGACGUGCUCUUGAGUUCACGCUCGGGACACGGAGUCGGCGAGGUUACUUUGAGUAAAUUAGAGUGUUCAAAGCAGGCCUACGCUCUGAAUACAUUAGCAUGGAAUAACACGAUAGGACUCUGGCCUAUCUUGUUGGUCUGUAGGACCGGAGUAAUGAUUAAGAGGGACAGUCGGGGGCAUUCGUAUUUCAUUGUCAGAGGUGAAAUUCUUGGAUUUAUGAAAGACGAACUACUGCGAAAGCAUUUGCCAAGGAUGUUUUCAUUAA
rnacentral:rRNA from 1 species